rnacentral:rRNA from 1 species
AAACUUUCAACAACGGAUCUCUUGGUUCUGGCAUCGAUGAAGAACGCAGCGAAAUGCGAUAAGUAAUGUGAAUUGCAGAAUUCAGUGAAUCAUCGAAUCUUUGAACGCACCUUGCGCCCAUUAGUAUUCUAGUGGGCAUGCCUGUUCGAGCGUCAUUU